rnacentral:lncRNA from 1 species
UGUUAAGAGUCAUUACUUUCUUGGGUAAACAAAUUAAUGGAUAAGUUACUCAGAGAAAGGUGAAAUAUGUAAAAGAAGACAUCUAGAGUAUGAGUAAAAAACACUCAAAAUUAGGAACAGUUAGUUAAUAAAACUUAUUUGGCACCUGAUGUAUGCCAAAAAUCAUUGCUGAAUUAGUAGGUAAAUGAAUAAAGCAAAUAGUAUUUUAUUAUUUUAUUUUAUUUUUUGAGAUGGAGUCUCGCUCUGUCACACAGGCUGGAGUGCAGUGGCGUGAUCUUGGCUCACAGCAACUUCCGCCUCCUGGGUUCAAGCAAUUCUCCUGCCUCAGCCUCCCAAGUAGCUGGGAUUACAGGCACACUCCACCAUGCCCGGCUAAUUUUUUGUAUUUUUAGUAGAGAUGGGGUUUCACCGUGUUAGCCACGAUGGUCUCGAUCUCCUGAUCUCGUGAUCCGCCCGCCUCGGCUUCCCAAAGUGCUGGGAUUACAGGCGUGAGCCACGGUGCCCGGCCGCUCUUUCAUUCUUUUACGAGUGACAGAAAGUUCUCUUCAGUGGAAACUCAAUCAUGCAGAACCACCAUGCUCUGAAAAAUCCAAAUAAACUGGAGAAAGAGCCAUAUGAGAAGAGCAAAGUCAUGCUGUCCAGUCUCAGCAGACCCCCAGGCUACAGCCAGCAACAAGUGCCAGCCAUGUCAUCCAGAUGUCUUGAAUGUUUCAGCCUCAAUCCUUCAAGUGAACACAGUUCCAGAAAACAGUACAUGAAGAAGAAAGACUAUGCAGCUGUUCUAAGUCAAUCUAAAAAUAAUACCAUAAAGUGACACUUCGGUUUUCAGCCACUAAGUUUUGAGUUAUUUGGUAUGCAGCAAAAACAGAUAAUAGAAAUACAUACAAUUUUCUAAAUAUUCUUCUAUUUUUCUCCAUAGAAUAUUUUUAUAGUCAUGUUAAAUAAUGCAGGGAGCAUGCAAUACUUAAGCAAUUGUUAAAUAAUACAAGUUUUAAUAUAAAUUAAGACAUGAAGUUGAAAAGAGUACAAGCAAGUUUCAAUCCCAAGCCAAGAACAUAAAAACUUCAUCAUGUCUUAUUUCAGGAGUCUAUUGUUACAUGGUAUGAAUAGAGCUAGGAAGAAAUUCAUGAACUAAAAUAUAUAAUCUUGGCAAAAUAUAACACUAAAAUACUAAAAACUAUCAACAAUAUCCUACGGACCGGGCAGAAUUGAACUAGUAAACCUCAAAUACCAGUUAAAAUGUGAACCUGUAGUAUUUAAAUUAUGUCGUUGGACUAUUUCUAAAAAGAUACUAAUAGCAAUCAUUUAUCAAGCAUUUAUAUGAAUUACUGCAGGAGCUCCAUGCACACUCCUUAAGAAAAAAUGAAGAUUUACCAAAUAUGCAAUAUUGUAUUGUACAGUGUAACCCUGUGCUAUUGUCUUCCUCUCUACUGAACGAUCUAAAAUUGUUAUGAUGUGUACACAUUUUACAUUUAUAACAUUCAUUGACAUUUAGUCUAAUUAAUUAUUAGUUCAGCAUGCAUAGUCUAUUUGUAUUAGUCAUGUCCAUAUUUGCAACUCAAAACACAGAAUUAACUUUUCGAAGGCUACGUAGGAGAUGGGAUUCUUUAUUUGGGGGAUGAGGGAAAAAUAUUCUAUAUUUAUCAUAUGCUUUGAAAUGUUUCCAAUGCCUUUAUUUGACUGAUAGAGAUUCUUGUGUGUGUGUGUGUAUUUAUAUCUGUGUGUGAUCAAAAUGUAUGGAGUCAUAAAAAAAAUCCACUACUUAGUUUCAAAUAUUUGAAUGAUCUUUGAAAUUCAUUUAGAAUAAGUUACAUAAUUAAAGCUGCCUUAAUUUUUUUAAACCAAAUAGCCCUUUAUAGAGUUUGCACUGAGAGCUUCUUUGCUUUUCUCUAUUCUUCCUGUAAUGUUCUUGUGAUUAAUUCAAAACCCAUAUGUACUCUCUCAAAUUGUUACAGGUAGUUAGAUAGGCAUGCGUGGGGCAGGAGAGGGCUUUUCC